UUUAAAAGUGUGAAAAACAAGUGUGUUAGCUAUCAAAAAAGCUCUCCCCUCAAAGUAAACAUGUUUAUAGAGCAAGACUCAAAACAAAAUACUUGAUUGUGAUAAACCUGGCCAAUCAAAAGAGAGUAAACAUGUUUACUACAAAAGCCUUAUAAAGAACCCAGAUGGCAACCAGCGCUCUGCUCACUUGUCCUUCCAGGGAGCUUCUGAGGUUCCCCUGAGCCUUAGAGACAGGGAUACCACCUUCCCUGCUAGCAGGUGGCUUGCCUUGCACAAGUCCUGCUCACUCAGCUAAAUCGGGUUACUACCGUCUUUCCCCGAAAAAACCAUGGCAGUGGAAACUGGAGGCUCAUGUCUGUGUCACUGAAUUAGACCCUUGAGUGAAACAUUUGUGAAACUGAACCUGAAGUUCCCAUGAUGUUUAAAUAGCAACUUGUCAUAGAUGCAAUGCAUGUCAGCUUCUUGGCUGCCAAAACAGCCCCACAUUAAUGUCACAUAUGAUGACCUUCUGUGUCCCUUUUAUUGUAAUGUCAGGGUUUAGGACAUAGAACAUGAACCUUACCCAGCCCCUGCCUCACCUAAUUCUUAUCAAAGAACUCAACAGCUCAGGCAGGAAGUUGAUAGAAGAGACAAUGACAUCCUGAGUGAGGGGUUUGCAGGGUGCUAGGCACCUCAGAGGGAGUCUCAGGUGAUGUUACUGGAGUGGGAGGUGUCAGUACAGUCCAGUAGCAAGUUUGGGAAAAGAGGGCCAGCAGGAGGGGGCUCCCAGGAAGGUUAUUGGUCAGAGGAAGGUUUUGGGCCUCAGGUGUCAAGGUGGAGUCAGAACAUUGCUGAGACCCAGGCUGUGGCAAUACCCUCAGGUGGUGCCGAGGUUUGCAGUACUUAGGCCCCUACUUGUACAGGCAGCCGCCAUUCAGUUCCCAGUAGAGGUACUUGCUUAAAGAAGAAAGUGGCGGAGGUAGGAUUGAGCCCAGCUGCAGCUGAUUCUCUAGCCUGCACUCUGUUGCUUCUCAAAUGGACAAACAGCUUAAGACGAGCAGCUUUUAGAGUAAAGGAAGGUGAGACAAACAGACAUGUAUUCAGUCACUCAAGAAAUUAUAUAUGUGUGUAUAUUUAUUUAUCUUCCUGCUUUGUGCCUGUGAGGCCUGAUGUAAACUUUGGCAAGUGUGUUGAGAGGAUUAUCUUCUGAUGUUGAUAGCAGUGACCACAGGCUAACGUACCCUAGAAAGGUAUAUUAGAGUGCCCUUGACAUUUAGAAGCUGCAUGGCUGAGCUGUGAAGUGGUUCCUGUAUGUGUGGUCGUGGAAGUAGGCAUUUCAAAGAAUCCAGGAAUCACAGUUCAGGUGGACAGCAGUACUACCUUGGCGUAGAUGACAGGCAAGGUGGGCCUUGAGCAGAGUAGUAACUUGCUUCUAACAGAGGUGCUCAAGAGGCCAACUCUUUCCUCUUUGCCUGAAGUCCAGGUGUGUAGAGCAAAUGACUUCUGAGUAAGAGAAGGAAUAUGUGUAAGAAAAAGGCAAGAUUUAUUUGGUGAUGGAGGGUGUUAGGCAGAGGUGGGUGUUGGGGCCAAGGUGAGAUGAGUUUAUGCUCCUGGAGGAGAGAUCUGGGAUGCUGGGAGGGCUGGAUGCUGUGCUGGUUCAUCCACCAGGGAACAUUAUCGCAAAGGAUGGGACUUGCAGUUAGGCUGGCCUUUUUUUUUUUUUUUUUAUUGGUACAUUUUAGGUAUACAAUUCGUUUACAUUUAUCAUUGGGUGUUUGUACCUGUACAUGAUAUAUCUUGGUUCUUAUUUUUUCCCCAUUACCUGUGCGCCCUUCACCCCCUCCGCCCUUCCCUAUUUACAUAGACAUCAUUUCCAUAUUUUUUUUCUUUUCUCAUAGUUUUUUCUUUCCCUCUUUUCCUUUCCCCUUCCCCUCCCUUCAUUCCUUCAUCUUUGGACCUUUUUUUCCUAUUUCAAAUUAUUAAUUAUUCAUUUUAAUCAUUUUAACCCUUGUUUACACUAUCAGUUUCUCACACUAGAGAUACUAUUCGGUAUUUACACAUGUGUGUCCUAUUUAUUUCACUUGAGUGUGGCCUCGAUAUGCAUCUAUUUAGCUAUAAAUGACUAGUUUUUUGUUCUUCAUGGCUGAGUAGUACUCCAUUUUAUAAAAAACCCCACAUUUUCUUUAUCCAGUUUCCAGUUGAUGGGCACUUGGGCUGCUUCCAAGCUUUAGCUAUUACAAACUGUGCCGCUAUGAACAUGAGUGAACAUAUAUCACUGUGGUAUGAUUCUUUUAAUUCUUUGGGGAAGAUCCCCAGCAGGGGAAUACCUGGGUCAAAUGGGAUCUCUAAGCCUAAUUCUUUGAGGUAGCUCCAUACUGAUUUCCAUAGUGGUUGCACCAGUCUGCACUCCCACCAGCAAUGGAGAAGGGUUCCUUUCUCCCCACAACCCCGAGGCUGACCUUUUCUACACAGGGCUCAGGCAUAGGUGGAGGAAUGGGGCAGCACAGGCCAUGGAAAGAACCCACCAGAUGUUAGCUUUCAGAGGGAAUUUCUCGAAUACUUUUAGUGAACAAGACAGCAAUAAACAAACCAAAAAGGUUUCUGGUUGAGCCUCAGUGAACUAGAAAUGUAAUUACAUAGAAACUGUAUUCCUUCUGUGUUCUAAUUAAUCUAGCGGGUUAACUUACAAACUUGUGUCUGAGCAUGCAUACCAGUAAGUCCUCUGGUGUGUUGAAAAUAAUCUUCCUAGUUCAAUCUUGGUAAAGGGAAUCAUGGUUAGUUCUAGGGAACUUAAGUGAAUGGAGGAGACUCUGAAGCCACAAAUGCUAGUGCAUUUUACCAUUUGGCUACAUUUGGUGACUUUUUAUUAGGACUCUAGGACUUAGGCAUUUCAGACAGAUGCUUAUUUAGGGUACAUUCAAGUAAGUGUUAUUAUUUUUAAAAGAGCAGUAUUAUUUUUUGUUCUUCUCUGAGCCUUAUUAAUCAAGGCAGAUUGGCAUUUUAUUUAUGAGCUGACAG
rnacentral:lncRNA from 1 species